AGAGUCAAAUGGAGCACCCCUUCAUGAACACAAGGCUCCAGGGAGCCCUUGACAGCGGUGGUGCGGGCCUGGCCCUGGGAGGCAGAUCAGCGAGGACCAGCUGUGCGGGCUGUGGAGAAGGAGGCCACAUGGAAUCCCAGAAUCAACAGAUUGCCUAUGCUGAAGAAACACAGGGUUCAACAGGUACAAACCUUUCUGGGUCUUCUUUAUUUUUCUGAGAGCCGGGAGACGUGGAAAGGCAGCUCCUACAAUUCCUCCUCAAGGCACGUCCUCCUGAAAGGGAGACUCCAACCUAUGGCAAAUCCCUUCCCUGAAGGGGUCAUGAAAGUUAUCAGUAUCUAAAGAGAACUGCUAGCAUCAAUCACCAACAAAAUGGAGCCUGGAGGCCAUGGAAGAGGGCAUGGGCGCCUAUGAUGGAUUCCUCGGGAAUGCAGCCGGGCAGUUCUGUCUGGGCGGCUUGCCUAGAGAGGGGACAUUUGCCUGACUGCAGCUGUCUCUAAAGGAGCCAUCCAGUUCUGGCUACUUCAGAAUAGCUUGCUUGGACUCCUUUCUCAUCUUUAAAGGCUCACCCUCUGCCCUAGCCUCCUCGAAUGUGCCCUGAUUCAGCAUGGCGUGUGUCCUGUAAUCCUCUACUGUUCUCCACUGUGCAGAGCUGACCAACAAAAUAGGCCGCCUAGAGCUGUGAGGUAAACAGAAGCACACAGAGGUGUUUGUUCCCCUAAAGGAUCCGUCUUUCUUUCUAAGCAGCCGUCAGUUUUCUGUGAACGCCUUUCUGCCUCUGCGACUUCCCUACUCUAUUUACAAGCCUCAAGUUCUAGCCACUCUUUUCGAGCUGGGUAAAACCCUAUGACAAGGUGACCCCUGUGGAAAGUUUGACUCCCAAAGGGGUUGCGACCCACAGAUUGAAAGCCACCUCCCUAAGGCACCAGCACUCGCAAUUUGUCCUCCUCCUGUACUGAGGAUGGUAAAAUGACCAGGGUGUUUGAAGGACCUCAUGGAGACUGUCAUCAGAGAAGGCCACCUCAUCCUGGGUUUCUUUCCAAGAGCCCUCACCGACCCUCGCAUCACUGGUCAGACCUGAGUGACGUGCUCUUUCCUAAGCCAGCGUCUGUCAGUGUGGCUGGAAAUGUCACAACUGAUUUGGUUGACACCUGUGGGGUAUGAUCAUUCUUUCUAAGCCUUGAGAGGAAGGGUUGGAUCAAUGGAAAGGGAAUUCUGCUGACAAAGAAGAGAGGAGAGACAGGAGCUGAGUGGACCAGCUGCUGUCGAAGGCAAAGAAGAAAGGAGACACAGGAGCUGAGUGGGCCGGCAGCUGUCCACAGCAGUCUGAGAAGGUCACUUCAGGAGGCCCAGCAGCUCUGUCACUGGUUUUCUCUACCAUACUUGAACCCGACCUGCACACACUGAUAUAAGGAUGCCCUCUUAAUUCACCUUUUCCCUCAGAGAUUAAGUGAACUGAUGGAAGCCCUUUGUUUAUUAGUUAUCAAUUACAUUAUCAUCUUUUAUUUUGAGAUUAUGAUAUAAAUAUGUCAUUUCUCCCUUCACUUUCCUUCUUCCAAGCCCUCCGUGUACCCCUCCUGCUGUCUUUCGAACUCUCAACACUCUUUC